rnacentral:tRNA from 1 species
GUAGAUAUAGUUUAAUAUAAAACAUUAGAUUGUGGUUCUAAAACUAGAGGUUAAACUCCCCUUAUCCACC